rnacentral:rRNA from 1 species
CUAGUAACUGCGAGUGAAGCGGGAACAGCUCAAAUUUUGAAUCUGGCGGUCUUUGGCCGUCCGAGUUGUAAUCUAGAGAAGCGUUUUUCCGCGCUGGUCCGUGUACAAGUCUCCUGGAAAGGAGCAUCAUAGAGGGUGAGAAUCCCGUCUUUGACAUGGACUACCAGUGCUAUGUGAUGCGCUCUCAACGAGUCGAGUUGUUUGGGAAUGCAGCUCAAAAUGGGUGGUAAAUUCCAUCUAAAGCUAAAUACAGGCGAGAGACCGAUAGUGAACAAGUACCGUGAGGGAAAGAUGAAAAGAACUUUGGAAAGAGAGUUAAACAGUACGUGAAAUUGCUGAAAGGGAAACGCUUGAUGUCAGUCACAUCUGCCAGGAAUCAACCUUGCUUGUUUUGCUGGGUGUAUUUCUUGGUCGAUGGGUCAGCAUCAGUUUCACUCGCUGUACAAUGGUGAAGGAAAUGUGGUACUCUAUGGGAGUAUGUUAUAGCCUUUCAUCAUAUGCAGUGAUCGGGACUGAGGAACUCGGCACGACUUUGCUUUGUGUCUAGGAUGCUGGCAUAAUGGCCUUAAGCGACCCGUCUUGAAACACGGACCAAGGAGUCUAACAUGCCUGCGAGUGUUUGGGUGCCAAACCCGGGUGCGUAAUGAAAGUGAAAGUCGAGACCUCUGUCAUGGAGGGCAUCGACGCCUGGACCUGAGUCUUUGACGAUGGAUCUGCGGUAGAGCAUGUAUGUUGGGACCC